AAAGUUUUAGGCCUUCUCUUCCUGGUUCUUCCUGGAGUCAGGAAAAGCCGGGUUGAAAGGGCAAAAGAAAAAAAAA
rnacentral:pre_miRNA from 1 species